GACGAACGCUGGCGGCGUGCUUAACACAUGCAAGUCGAACGGAAAGGCCCUGCUUGCAGGGUACUCGAGUGGCGAACGGGUGAGUAACACGUGGGUGAUCUGCCCUGCACUUCGGGAUAAGCCUGGGAAACUGGGUCUAAUACCGGAUAGGAGCCAUUUUUAGUGUGAUGGUUGGAAAGUUUUUUCGGUGUAGGAUGAGCUCGCGGCCUAUCAGCUUGUUGGUGGGGUAAUGGCCUACCAAGGCGGCGACGGGUAGCCGGCCUGAGAGGGUGGACGGCCACAGUGGGACUGAGAUACGGCCCAGACUCCGACGGGAGGCAGCAGGGGGGAAUAUUGCACAAUGGGCGCAAGCCUGAUGCAGCGACGCCGCGUGGGGGAUGACGGCCUUCGGGUUGUAAACUCCGUUCGCUAGGGACGAAGCUUUUUGUGACGGUACCUAGAGAAGAAGCACCGGCUAACUACGUG
rnacentral:rRNA from 1 species